rnacentral:rRNA from 1 species
CGGCGACCACCGAGAUCUACACCUCUCUAUUCGUCGGCAGGUCAGAUGUGUAUAAGAGACAGAACACAAGGUGAAAAAUGUGGUAUUAACCCAUGGGCAGUGGAAGGUGAAUCAACAACGUCAACUUUAGAGUGGACGGUGGCGUCUCCUCCGGCUUUCCAUACUUUUGAAGAAAUUCCGGCGAUUAAGGAGCCUUCUUCACACCCUGUUUUACGUUAAUUAAUUCAGUUUUGGAAGAGCAAGGGGUCGAAAAAAUCGACCCCUUUUUUUACUCUAAAUCCUUUUUUGUCCAAAUUUCAGAAAGUGAGCUAACGCAUGAAAUCAGCCGCCUGGGGACUACGGCCGCAAGGCUAAAACCCAAAGGAAUUGACGGGGGCUUACACAAGCGGUGGAGCAUGUGGUUUAAUUCGAAACAACGCGCAAAACCUUACCAAUCCUUGACAUAUGAAAAACCAGGGUGUUUACCCGCUCUGUCUCUUUUAUACAGGUGCUGCAUGGCUGUCGUCAGUUCGUGGUGUGAGCUGUUGGGUUAAGUCCCAGAACGAACGCAACCCUCCUUUGAAAUGAAGGUUUACCUUUUUCAAAGACUGCCAAGGAUAUCUUGGAGGAAGGUGAGGAUGACGUCAAGUCCGCAUGGCCCUUAUGGGUUGGGCUACACACGUGCUACAAUGACGGAAGCAAAAGGCAGCAAUAUGGUGACAUGGAGCAAAUCCCUAAAAGCCGUCGUAGUUCGGAUUGUUCUCUGCAACUCGAGAACAUGAAGUUGGAAUCGCUAGUAAUCGUAGAUCAGCACGCUACGGUGAAUUUGUAUCUAAGCCUUGUACACACCGCCCGUCACAUAAUGGGCUGUCUCUUAUACACAUCUGACGCUGCCGACGAAUAGAGAGGU